AACGAACGCUGGCGGCAUGCCUAACACAUGCAAGUCGAACGAGAUCUUCGGGUCUAGUGGCGCACGGGUGCGUAACGCGUGGGAAUCUGCCCUUUGGUUCGGAAUAACAGUUGGAAACGACUGCUAAUACCGGAUGAUGACGAAAGUCCAAAGAUUUAUCGCCAGAGGAUGAGCCCGCGUAGGAUUAGCUGGUUGGUGUGGUAAAGGCGCACCAAGGCGACGUUCCUUAGCUGGUCUGAGAGGAUGAUCAGCCACGCUGGGACUGAGACAAGGCCGAGACUCCUACGGGAGGCAGCAGUGGGGAAUAUUGGACAAUGGGCGAAAGCCUGAUCCAGCAAUGCCGCGUGAGUGAUGAAGGCCUUAGGGUUGUAAAGCUCUUUUACCCGGGAUGAUAAUGACAGUACCGGAAGAAUAAGCUCCGGCUAACUCCGUGCCAGCAGCCGCCGUAA
rnacentral:rRNA from 1 species